ensembl:snRNA U2 U2 spliceosomal RNA
AUCACUUCUCAGCCUUUUGGCUAAGAUCAUGUGUAGUAUCUGUUCUUAUCAGUUUAAAAAUAUAUUUAUUUGAAAGAGUUUGAACUGUGGUUAUGCAACAAGGUGGAGGAAUACACCAUAGGGGGAGGGCUUGGGGAGGGGUGGGGAGAAUCCCAGUACCU